UGAGCAAACUCCAGGAGAUAGUGAAGGACAGGGGAGCCCGGUGUGCUGCAGUCCAUGGGGUCGCAGAGUCAAACAUGACUUAGAAACUGAACAAUAGGGAAGCAGCAGCAGAGCCUGGCAUGUAAGAACAGACAUCAAGCUGUGGGGGAUCAAGUCCCAGCUCUGCCACUUAUUGGAUAUAGGGCCUGGGCAAGUUUUCUAAUUUCUCUAUUCCAUAAUUUUUUUCAUCUGUAAAGUGGGGAUGUUAAUAAUAGUAGCUCCCUCAGAGGGUCCCUGAAAGAACUAAAUGAUACAGUGUAAGAAAAGCAUGGUACCUGACUUGCCACGUGUUGAACCUUAAAUCGAUGAUAUCGAUGACCAUUAUUAGUUAGAAUCAUUUAGAAAUAUUGCAGAUCAGCACACCAGGAGGAAAGAAAUAUUUUACUAAAUGCUUGCAGUGGCUCAGUUUAAGCCAGAGAACAACCUUGCGAUGUAGGAAUUAUACUGUUGUACCCAUUAUAUGAAUAGGAUAAAGAAGCUCUGUGGGAUUAAAUGGCUUGCCUGAAGCCCUGUAUCUCGCUAGUAGUGGAGCCAGUGUCAAACUCAGUCUUGUCUGAGUUUUUCCUAAGCCUGAAAGUGAAAGUCAUUCAGUGGUGUCCAACUCUUUCUAGUCCAUGGAAUUCUCUAGGCCAGAAUACUGGAGUGGGUAGCCGUUCCUGUCUCCAGCAGAUCUUCCCAACCCAGGAAUCAAACCGGUGUCUCCUGCAUUGCAAGUGGAUUCUUUACCAGCUGAGCUACUAGGGAAGCUCUAAGUCUGUAUUCCUUCUAUCACAUUUUGCUGAUAUCCAGGGCCAGAUUGAGAUAUGUGGAGAGCCUACCCAUGAAAACAGUAUCCCUACCUCAUGUAAAAAUAAAAACAAUUAAAAACCUUAAAAGAAGUAUAAGAAAGGUCAACAUCUAUUUAAUUUCCCAGAUGACUCCAGUGAAAAAAAUAUGUAUCAGUUUCUUUCCAAACCACUUCAAUUUUGUAUUUUGGUGCCAGAAGCACAUGCCUUAUUGUUUUAUCCAGUGACCAAAGAUGGAGCAUCAUUAGGAGGGAGUGUCCUGUGACUUCCUGUCCAGGAUUCCCUAACUUCAGAGGAAUUGCCUGGUGUGGCCAGGAAAUUGUUCAAGUUUUAGGAGGUGCUGUGUGAAUGCAUUGAUAAUAGCAAAUUAUUCAUGGCAUGAUGGUAUCAAUGUAAACAAUAACAGCAGCCAUUUAUUACACAUAUAUGUGUCUGGCACUUUAUAAACACUGUCUCAUGUAAUUCCCACAAUGACUCUCACUAUUUUACCAGUGAGGUUCUAGAAAGUUAAGUUACAUCCCAAAGGAUACACAAUGUUAUCCCUGAGAUUAGAGCAACUCCGAUCUCUAAGUGUUUCUAUCACACAGAGCUGUUUAAAGUUACCCAGGGGGUGAGUGAGAGUGCAGAGACUAGCAGAGUAUAGUCAGGGGCCUUUCCACUGCAUCUCCCUCCUUCUUAAAGGGUCAUCCACGAAGGCUGCCCUAAAACCAGCCUGAUGGAAGCUACUCAGCCUCUCUUCCCAACCAACCACCUCAAAUGCAUUUGGGGUCCAUAUUUAGAGUUCAGAAGGAGUGGAAUGCCUAUGAGAAGGUGACCUAUACAGCCUCAGGAAAGUUACAAAGAAAUAGAUUUUUUUUUUCUGUAUUUAGAAAUAUCUUUAUCAUCUGUGGUCUCAGGAAUAAUGCCUGCAAGGUACACCAGAAAACAUCCUUCUGUGUUACAGCUCUGCAUGAGUAUCAUGGUAUAGGGUGAUGGGUGGGAGUGUGGGUUCUGGAAGCAAAUGUCAGGAUUUGAAAUGCAAUUAUGUGUUUGUGCCUGGCUGCUAGCUGUGUGCAACUUUACACAAGUUUCUAAUCAGGACAUCAUAAUAUUUAUCUAUUUCGUGUGAGUUGUAAAUCAGAUAAUAUAUGCAAAGUUAUUUGGCACCAUGAGGUGAACACAAAAAGACUUGAAAAAUAUCACCACUACCACCACACCACUAUCUACCUAAUGCUAUUUGCUUAAUUUCAUUGUCUAGUAUAUUAAUCCAGCUAACAUUUUAUCUAACUCAUUUAAAGUGUGGUAAUGUCAUGCUCUCAGGUACCGGUUGUGGUUCUUUUAAUAUAGGCAAUUGAGAAAAAGCCAACUAAAUAGUGUUAAACUAAUAAACAGUCCAUUUAAUCCCAAAUAACCAGCUUUUACUUUAUGAAGUAGAAAGAAGGCAGAAAACCUUUCACUGGUGGUAGGGUUUUAAUAUUAUUGGUAGCUCAUGGCUGAACUGAGUGAACUGUAACUUCUAUCUAUGUAUUUACCCCUCCAUGCCUCUGUCCACUUGUCUAUUCAGAAAACACUUAAAGAGUCUUCUUUGUAUUCAAGGAACUGUUGCUACACAUUUGGGAUCUGGUUCCCUGACCAGGGAUCAAACCCGGCCCCCGCUACAUUGGAAACUCAGAGUCUUAGCCACUGGACCACCAGGGAAGUCCCUGUUUUUUCAUAUAGAAUGUACUGUUCUGUGUCUUGCUCUGUUGCUCAACAUUAUGUUUCUUAUUUGAAAACAUACGUCUCUUAGUCACCAGGAAAUAGAAGUUAAAAUCACAGCAGUAUUCCACAAUAUCCAGUGUUGGUGAGGACGUGAUGCAUACGUGUCAGGGGUCCCUCAUACACCUCUGGUUAAGAAUAAUUUGGUAAAUCACAGUGGAAAACGAAAUGGCAGUAUCUACUAGGAUCUAUUUAUUGGCUUUCUGGACAUACUGUUUUGUGAAGUGCUUAUUUUAGGAUACUAGAAAAAGAAUUAAAAGUCAGCAACAACUAGGUCCUACUGUAUAGCAAAGGGAAUUAUAUCCAGUCUACUGGUUUAAACUGUAGUGGAAAAAAAAAUUUUUUUUUAAAAGAAUGUACAUAUGUGUAUAACUGAGUCACUUUACUAUGCAGCAGAAAUUAGACAACAUUAUAAAUCAACUAUACGUCAACAAAGGUUUUUUAAAUAAAAAAGAACUUAAAUGGAUCAUCACUUAAAGAAUUAAAAGACAGCAAAAUAAAGCAGGAAGAGGAACAUUAAUGAAGAUAAAAGCUUUAAAUUAAAAGAAUUAAUUAAAUAAGGAAAUCAGAGAAAGUAAAAAUAAAACCAAAACCAAAACCUGGUUCCUUCAAAACUACUAUAAGGCCAAUUAACACCUUGUAAAUCUAUUUUAAGUUGACAGAGGGUUUGGGGAGAAAGAGCACCCAAGAUUAGGAAUAGGAAGAGAUAAGAUAAAGAGAAAACAAAUUAUAAAAGAAUAUUAGAAUAAAACAGGCUAGUGAGCUCAGAAACAGAUCCAAACACAUUUGGCUACUUGAUUUAUGAUAAAAAUAACACUAAUGAGAAGUGGGGGAAGGAUAGUGUUUUGACCCAUCUUAACCACCGUCUUUGCCCAUGCACAAAAUUUUUCUAGAUGGUUGUAGAUAUAAAUGUGAGAGGUUAAACAUUAAAGCUUCCACAAGAUAAACCUAGAAGAAAAUAUCUGUGACCUUGGAAUAGGUAGACAUCUUAAACAAACUGCUUACAAAAAAUUCCUGGUAUAAAGAAAAAGAUAAAUUGAACUGUGUUAAAAUUAGGAACUUCACUCAUUGAAAGACAUCAUUAAGAGAGUGAAAAAGCAAGCCAGAGAGUAGAAGAGAUUUCUCAAUACAUAUAACCAAAUUGCACUCAGCAUAUAAUUCCUGCAUAUCAAAAAGAAAAAGAUAACCCAAUAGAAAAAUAGAUGAAAGACAAAAUACACAUUUUUACUGAUAAAGAAAAUGGAGAAAGAUGCUAAUAUCUUCUCUAGGCAAACAGAUCUACAAAUGAAUGAGUUUUAUUCAUUUAGGCCUUGUGAUUACUAUUUAGUGGCAGCACACACACUGCAGGAGAGUGACAGAGAGAAAAGACAGCUGGAAAUAUAAGAACUAACGUUAUCAAUUGAUAGCUUUGGCCACAGUCUAAGUUAAAAUAAAUGUGUUAGCCUGAGUCAGGCGCUUCAAGGGAAAUGAAGCAAGUGACUUACUUCAGAGAGGACAGCUGCUGGUCUAACUCACUCAACGUCUUAAUCUGGCAUCCAUAAUAGAUGCUCCUGAGACGUGGCCUACACAGAAGAGAGGACUGUUCCUGCAACUGAGAUCAGUUGACUGCCUUUGGAAACUCACCAUCCAUGCCACAAUGGCGUCUGUUUCCCACAUGGAACAGCAGUUAUGACCAAUGAAGACAUGACAUAGGGAUAGUAAGCUUCUUCCCUAAAUUCACAUGGUUGCUCCUCUCGCCUUGGAAACAUUUGCAUGUGACUCAAAACUACAUCCAUAUUAAACUGUAUCAGUCCUCUCUUUUCCGACCACAUGUGAGCUAAUUGACUUUAUAGAUAUCUAUAUUGCAGCAGACAGACUAUAGUAAUGAGUUACCAAGAAACAAGAUUGAUGAUUCCCUAACCCUGCAGUUUCAGAAGUUCCAAAUAGGCAAUCCUUUUGACCUAACAAUCACCCUUCUAAAUGGGGUACCACCUCCUUCUGGCUAUAUGAGACCCUAAUAAAUAUUAUUUGCAAUUCCUUGUUGAAAAAGAAGCAAUGUUUAAUCUUCUUUAGCUUAUAUUUUUAUGGAAUGUGUUAUUAAUAUGUGCUUCCAAAAUUGUAUGAAAUUCCUAGAAAUUUAUCAAUUCAAGGUCUUUGCUAUCUGUGAUACGUCCAGUUAUAGUGUAAUUAGUCAUAAUUCCAGUUAUUAUCUUAAAAUGCUAUCUCACUGAAACAAUCAAAUUUCCUUGCCAAUUGCAUUGAAAUGAACUCUCAUCAGGUCUUUAAAAAAAAAGAAAAGAAAACUGGAAUGAGAUACCUACCUUUUAAGGACCAACUCGCACUGUAUCAGAGAUCCGUAAGGAUGAUUAACCAAUAGCUGAUGCUUAUCGGUCCUGUUCUGUCUGCCAGUGCUGUGCAUCCAGAGUCCCGUUCAUUCCUUACAGUAAUGCCUUGAGGCAAGUGUCGCUAUCUUUACCUUUUUACAUGUGGGGAGACUGAGGCUUAGCUUAAGUAAAUGACCAAACUCUCACAGCUAGACAGUGGGAGAGCCAGGUCUCAAACCCAGGGAGUCCAGUUUGUGAGCCUGUUCUCCUAGGAGCCAUACUUGUAGAAAAAGUGCCAUAUGGCAGGAGGCUGCAAGUUUGGAAGGCCCCCUCAGCCCCACCCAUGAAUAUCUUCUCUAGCUCUAUUUCUGAAAACAAGGACUUCCCAGAUUUGCUCUGCCGUUAUGUAGAGCAGUCAUCUGGGAAGGCAUCAAAUGCUCUUUGUCUUAUUCAGACAUUAAUGCUUUCUCUGUUGUCCAGUUUCUUCCUCCUUCCCAAAUACCUAGAAAACUGAGAGAGACUGUAUUUCUUAUAGAUUAUCAGCUUACGUCUACUUGUGCCACUGAUAAAUGAUUAAUACUCUGAAAACUAGGUUAAGUUAGCAAAUAUGGGAUUCAUCUGAAUAAAUUCUACUUUUAAAUAUUACAAGCAGAAUAUUUGAAUAAAUCAAGUAAAUAUUUGAAUAAAUCAAACAUAUUACUUUGUUUAUAAACUAAUGAAGCAACUAGGUUUAUAAAGGGAUGCUGAAAUUGAAGACAUUUAUUACAGCCUAUCCAAAAAGGUUCUCUCUCUCUGCUUUUUUUUUUUUCCCCAGAAAAGGAGAAAAGGAAUUAUUUGUGGCUCAGAGGGUAAAGUGUCUGCCUGCAAUGCGGGAGACCUGGG